rnacentral:rRNA from 1 species
GACGAACCGUGCGAACGUUGUUCGGAAUCACUGGGCUUAAAGGGCGCGUAGGCGGGUCCCCAAGUCAGGGGUGAAAUACUCCGGCUCAACCGGAGCAGUGCUUCUGAUACUGGGGACCUCGAGGGGUGCAGGGGCAUGUGGAACUUCCGGUGGAGCGGUGAAAUGCGUAGAUAUCGGAAGGAACGCCGGUGGCGAAAGCGACGUGCUGGACACCUUCUGACGCUGAGGCGCGAAAGCCAGGGGAGCAAACAGG